UACAGAGGGUGCGAGCGUUGUCCGGAAUCACUGGGCGUAAAGGGCGCGUAGGCGGUCUCUUAAGCGUGUGGUGAAAGCCCGGGGCUCAACUCCGGGUCGGCCGUGCGAACUGGGGGACUGGAGCUUGUCAGAGGCAGGCGGAAUUCCGGGUGUAGCGGGUGGAAUGCGUAGAGAUCCGGAAGAACACCGGUGGCGAAGGCGGCCUGCUGGGACAGUGCUGACGCUGAGGCGCGACAGCGUGGGGAGCAAACA
rnacentral:rRNA from 1 species